CUUCAGCAAAAUGGCUGACCAAAAGGCUUACUGCUGUCAAUGCUCCUUUUACACUUGCAGGUUGGUCUCUCCAAUGCCAGCAGAUGAAAGGACGUUCAGUUCCUGCUCUGAGCAGCAUUUCCAUUUCCUCUGGGUCUUGUGGAGCUCCUGCAGCUGACCAAAUCACUCUGCAGCCAUGCUGCCUCGUCUUUUGGCCUCUCAGACACCCACAGAAUAUUUGGAAGAAGGCUAAAAAUGAGAGACAAAUUCCAAUACUGAGGACACAAAGCAAUGAAGCACUUUGAGGAUUGGACUGCUUUAUCAUGCUAGACCAUUUCCUGCAUCUCCCUGGGUGGGAGAGAUGCUGGAGGGGAAGAGGAAGAGAAGAAAGAUCUUAGCAGAUCCCCUAAACUCUCCAUGAAACUGGUCUUAAUUUUGCUGAAUGCUUAAAAGGCCAAGAUGUGAUUGAACACAGAAGGAGGAAACAUCACAGAUUCUUUAUGUGCACUUCCCCAAGAAAGUGGAUACAUGUAUAGGUGAGAUAAUUUAUUUUUAAUGUUUACAUAAAUUAAUAAAAAGAGCACCCUGGGUUCUAGCAGCUUGAUAGGCAAAGCAUUUUUCCUUUUGCCAUGUAUUAAACUGUGGCUUUCCGGACCUAGGGAAUUUUUUCAUUUUGCUGUAUUUCACAAACAGUUUAAGAGUAAGCACACAUUACUAUCCUUUUAGAAUAAAGAUUGUAAUUACAAGAAAUU